UCUCCGUAGGUGAACCUGCGGAGGGAUCAUUACAGAGUUCAUGCCCUACCGGGUAGAUCUCCCACCCUAUGUUAUUAUUACUUUGUUGCUUUUGCGGGCCGUUAGGCUCCGGCCCGACUACCGGCCCCGGCUGGUAAGCGCCUGCCAGAGGACCCAAAACCCUGAAUAUUAGUGUCGUCUGAGUACUAUAUAAUAGUUAAAACUUUCAACAACGGAUCUCUUGGUUCUG
rnacentral:misc_RNA from 1 species